GAUGAACGCUGGCGGCGUGCCUAACACAUGCAAGUCGAGCGAUUUACUUCGGUAAAGAGCGGCGGACGGGUGAGUAACGCGUGGGUAACCUGCCCUGUACACACGGAUAACAUACCGAAAGGUAUGCUAAUACGGGAUAAUAUGCUUUUAUCGCAUGGUAGAAGUAUCAAAGCUCCGGCGGUACAGGAUGGACCCGCGUCUGAUUAGCUAGUUGGUAAGGUAACAGCUUACCAAGGCGACGAUCAGUAGCCGACCUGAGAGGGUGAUCGGCCACAUUGGAACUGAGACACGGUCCAAACUCCUACGGGAGGCAGCAGUGGGGAAUAUUGCACAAUGGGCGAAAGCCUGAUGCAGCAACGCCGCGUGAGCGAUGAAGGCCUUCGGGUCGUAAAGCUCUGUCCUCAAGGAAGAUAAUGACGGUACUUGAGGAGGAGGCCCCGGCUAACUACGUGCCAGCCGCCGCCGUAA
rnacentral:rRNA from 1 species